UUUGGGACAAAUAAGUUAAAAAUUAUGUUAAGAAUAUACACCCAUAAAUAAAUCCGCAACUAUAUGACGAUGUAUAGUAUUAUUAUCAAUUGAUAAUAACAGGGAAAUUAUAAUUAUUCAGUUUUUGAAUAAACAGAUAAUAUUAUCAAAUAAUGCCAGUUACUACAUAAAUCGUUAAUAAACUGAUAGGUCGAGGCGUAAGUACAAAAUGUAACCUAGAUUGAAAAAAGCCAUAUAAUGACAAUUGCAAUUAACGCCUUAAAAUUUCCUCAAUUGAGUUUCGCUUAAAGCUUAUGCAAAUUUUAAAUUCGCUUAAAGGAGAAUGACCCGUCAGCAUACUAGGCUACAACUUGCAACAAAAUAGAUCGGAUCCCGCUAAUAGUCAUUUGGAAAUCUAAAGGCAAGGAAUAUGAGAAGACGUCAAUAAGUUUCCCCCGGUACACUCGUAAAAGGACAAGAGUAACGUCAACGUCGAGCUGCUAAUAUCACAGGAAACACGAUGUUGUACCAUUAGACUAGAUUAGUAAGGUUCAUUAUACAUAAUUUUUGAUUGUGCACAUAUUGGCAAUGAAUCUGUUAAAAUUUCGAAGAAAAAUUUGAAGAGUAGGCACAUUUAUUUCCUCGGUAUAUCCACGGAUCCACGGAUGUUGUUGUUAACCUAGCUGUGUAGCUUUUAUCAAAGUUACCAGCAGAAGAAGCGCCAAAGCAUUUUUAUUAAUGAAUAUGACCCAAUACAGGACAUGUCUAUACCGCACCAGGUGGUGAAGAUUGCAAAAAAAGUUGGACCAGGCGUAGGUGCCUUCAGGAAGUAUUCGCCAAUAAGACUAAAAAGGGGUGAAAGUCAUGGACACUUGUGAAAGUGACAAACCAGUAGACGGAGAUCAAGCUCGAAAGAACUAGAGGACAAAAAAAUUGCGUUUUUUUAUUUCAGUGGCAUUGUAACUACUUAUCAUAAAAUA